AUACGGAGGGUGCAAGCGUUAUCCGGAUUCACUGGGUUUAAAGGGUGCGUAGGUGGUUUUGUAAGUCAGUGGUGAAAGCCUACAGCUUAACUGUAGAAUUGCCAUUGAUACUGCUUAACUUGAAUCAAGUCGAAGUGGAUGGAAUAGAUCAUGUAGCGGUGAAAUGCUUAGAUAUGAUUUAGAACACCAAUUGCGAAGGCAGUUCACUAGGCUUGUAUUGACACUGAGGCACGAAAGCGUGGGGAUCAAACAGGAUUAGAUACCCUGGUAGUCCACGCCCUAAACGAUGUAUACUCGACAUAUGCGAUACACUGUAUGUGUCCAAGCGAAAGCGUUAAGUAUACCACCUGGGAAGUACGUCCGCAAGGAUGAA
rnacentral:rRNA from 1 species